GCACAAUCCUAAAACAAAACAUGACAACAAAGAACAAAAUGAAAGGACCCCUGUUCAAAAGUCUGUAUACUUUUAGUUUUUACUACUGUGUAUUGCCACCUUUAGCAUCAAUUACAGUGUGCAGUCUUUUGUAAUAGUUGUCUGAGGCCCCUAAUUCUUGCAGGUGGGAUAGCUGCCUAUUCGUCUUGGCAAAAUGCCUCCAGGUCAUGCAAAGUCUUUGUUCGUCUUCAGAUCUAACCAGAGUGGCUCGAUGAUAUUAAGGUUAGGAGACUGUGAUGGCCACUCCAGAAC